AGUUUGAUCCUGGCUCAGAGCGAACGCUGGCGGCAGGCCUAACACAUGCAAGUCGAACGAUCCUUCGGGAUAGUGGCGGACGGGUGAGUAACACGUGGGAACGUGCCUUUUGGUUCGGAAUAACUGAGGGAAACUUCAGCUAAUACCGGAUGAGCCCUACGGGGGAAAGAUUUAUCGCCGAAAGAGCGGCCCGCGUUAGAUUAGCUAGUUGGCGGGGUAAAGGCCCACCAAGGCGACGAUCUAUAGCUGGUCUGAGAGGAUGAUCAGCCACACUGGGACUGAGACACGGCCCAGACUCCUACGGGAGGCAGCAGUGGGGAAUCUUGCGCAAUGGGCGAAAGCCUGACGCAGCCAUGCCGCGUGAAUGAUGAAGGUCUUAGGAUUGUAAAAUUCUUUUACCAGGGACGAUAAUGACGGUACCUGGAGAAAAAGCCCCGGCUAACUUCGUGCCAGCAGCCGCGGUAAUACGAAGGGGGCUAGCGUUGCUCGGAAUUACUGGGCGUAAAGGGAGCGUAGGCGGGUCGUCAAGUUGGGGGUGAAAGCCCAGGGCUCAACCUUGGAAUUGCCUUCAAAACUGACGAUCUAGAGUAUGGAAGAGGUAAGUGGAACUCCGAGUGUAGAGGUGAAAUUCGUAGAUAUUCGGAAGAACACCAGUGGCGAAGGCGACUUACUGGUCCAUGACUGACGCUGAGGCUCGAAAGCGUGGGGAGCAAACAGGAUUAGAUACCCUGGUAGUCCACGCUGUAAACGAUGAUUGCUAGUUGUCGGGCGGCAUGCCGUUCGGUGACGCAGCUAACGCAUUAAGCAAUCCGCCUGGGGAGUACGGUCGCAAGAUUAAAACUCAAAGGAAUUGACGG
rnacentral:rRNA from 1 species